rnacentral:rRNA from 1 species
AGAGUUUGAUCCUGGCUCAGGAUGAACGCUAGCGGCAGGCUUAAUACAUGCAAGUCGUGGGGCAGCACAGGUAGCAAUACUGGGUGGCGACCGGCAAACGGGUGCGGAACACGUACGCAACCUUCCUUUAAGCGGGGAAUAGCCCAGGGAAACUUGGAUUAAUACCCCAUAAGAUAAUUGAAUGGCAUCAUUUGGUUAUUAAAGCUCCGGCACUUAAAGAUGGGCGUGCGGCUGAUUAGGUAGUUGGCGGGGUAGCGGCCCACCAAGCCGACGAUCAGUAACUGGUGUGAGAGCACGACCAGUCACACGGGCACUGAGACACGGGCCCGACUCCUACGGGAGGCAGCAGUAAGGAAUAUUGGUCAAUGGACGCAAGUCUGAACCAGCCAUGCCGCGUGGAGGAUGAAGGCCCUCUGGGUUGUAAACUUCUUUUAUUGGGGAAGAAACCGGUGUUUUCUAACGCCGUUGACGGUACCCGAUGAAUAAGCACCGGCUAACUCCGUGCCAGCAGCCGCGGUAAUACGGAGGGUGCAAGCGUUAUCGGGAUUCACUGGGUUUAAAGGGUGCGUAGGUGGGCAGGUAAGUCAGUGGUGAAAUCUCUGGGCUUAACCCGGAAACUGCCGUUGAUACUAUCUGUCUUGAAUGUAGUGGAGGUGAGCGGAAUAUGUCAUGUAGCGGUGAAAUGCUUAGAUAUGACAUAGAACAUCUAUUGCGAAGGCAGCUCGCUACACUAUUAUUGACACUGAGGCACGAAAGCGUGGGGAUCAAACAGGAUUAGAUACCCUAGUAGUCC